CCCUAGUAACGGCGAGUGAAGCGGCAACAGCUCAAAUUUGAAAUCUGGCGCAAGCCCGAGUUGUAAUUUGUAGAGGAUGCUUCUAGGUAGCGACCGGUCUAAGUUCCUUGGAACAGGACGUCAUAGAGGGUGAGAAUCCCGUAUGUGACUGGCCCGCACCUUCUACGUAGCUCCUUCGACGAGUCGAGUUGUUUGGGAAUGCAGCUCUAAAUGGGAGGUAAAUUUCUUCUAAAGCUAAAUACCGGCCAGAGACCGAUAGCGCACAAGUAGAGUGAUCGAAAGAUGAAAAGCACUUUGGAAAGAGAGUUAAAAAGCACGUGAAAUUGUUGAAAGGGAAGCGCUCACAACCAGACUUCUAGGCAGUGUUCCGCCGGUCUUUUGACCGGUCUACUCUCUGUCUCGAGGCCAACAUCAUCUGGGACCGCUGGAUAAGACCUUAGGAAUGUAGCUCCCCUCGGGGAGUGUUAUAGCCUCUGGUGAUGCAGCGAGUCUCGGGUGAGGUCCGCGCUUCGGCAAGGAUGUUGGCGUAAUGGUUGUCAGCGGCCCGUCUUGAAACACGGACCAAGGAGUCUAACAUCUAUGCGAGUGUUCGGGUGUCAAACCCCUACGCGUAAUGAAAGUGAACGGAGGUGGGAAGCGUAAGCUGCACCAUCGACCGAUCCUGAUGUCCUCGGAUGGAUUUGAGUAAGAGCAUAGCUGUUGGGACCCGAAAGAUGGUGAACUAUGCCUGAAUAGGGUGAAGCCAGAGGAAACUCUGGUGGAGGCUCGCAGCGGUUCUGACGUGCAAAUCGAUCGUCAAAUUUGGGUAUAGGGGCGAAA
rnacentral:rRNA from 1 species